GGCCGCCUGGCGAAAUGGCAUCGCGUCUGACUACGAUUGCGGGUAUUCUCUUAGCUUACAUAAUCAGGAGAUUGCAGGUUCGACCCCUGCGGUGGUCA